AAGUUAAUGAUGAUUAUAAAAAUAAUUCCUUAUUCUGACUUGCUUAAUUUGGACAGAACAAACUCUUAUUACAACUAUAGAAUUUGAGUUCC
rnacentral:snoRNA from 1 species